rnacentral:sRNA from 1 species
AUGAAAUAAUUAAGUUGUUGGGAUGUAUCAUAUAUUAGGUGGAGACUUUCUUAUCAUCGUAUGUGCAAAUACAAUAUUGUUCUUCUUUUCUCCUCACCUUAUCUUAGUUUGUGCUGCUUUUCCAAAGAUAACAUUCUACUGAAAAAGUCUUUAAUCUCUAAAACCAUGAAUUCAAUAUAUAUGAGCUUCAUUUUCCCUAAAUUUUACAACUACAUCCUCUCAUUACUAUAAGACAUAUAAGCUUUAUCCAUAUAUUUCAGGUCUUUUCUCAUUCUUCCCAAUCAACCAAAAUCAUAGUUUCAUUUCAUAUUCCCUUCCUAUCCCUACACUUUCUUUUUAAUAAAUCGUUUUUUCACAAUCUUCUCAAUAUGUAUAUGAAUUUUUGGUCUUCACAAUUCGUUCUCGAUAGAUCAAUCGUUUUUUUUUUGCCUUUUUGCAACCUUUCAUUGUGUUUGUCUUCAUUCCCAAAUCUACUCUUCAUGAUUCUCAAUUGUGUGAUCCUUAUGCGGAAGUAUAAACUCUAUUUUGACCAAAAAUAUUUAACAAUAUUUCCCUGUGUUUAGGGGUUGGAGGUAUGAUUAGUAGGCUUAAUUAUAAAGUUCUCGUUCAACAAGAAUACUUCAUUAUGUGAUUGUACCAACCACAAAUUUUAACAAAUAUGUGAUCCAAUUGUUAUAAUGUAAUGGCUACUAAUGUGGUUGAAGUUGAAAUAUUAACAAAUUUAAUGAUACCAAUAAAUAAUUGUCGAUGUUUUUCCAUUUCUUUUAUUCUUAUAGACUGGUUAUAUAUAUAAAACUUAACAAAUUAAUUACUGAGAUAACUAAUUGUGAUUAGAUAUUUAUAAUUUGAUGUAGACACGCAAAUAGUUUCGCUCCCAGACGAUACUAUCGAGGAACAACUUCGAAAUUUUUUCUCCGGCGCCGGUGGAGUUCUCUCUCGUCGGCGUCGGGAACUCUCUGCUUCUCGAUUCAUUUGCAAACUCUUUCGAUCCCUUUGUAACCUUUUCAUCCUUCUAGCUUCUCUUUUUCAAAUUUUUUUUUCUCUUGAACUCUUCUUCUCCAUGCAUACCUUCUACGGAACUUCAGAGAUCCUUGAUAGAACAUGGUGGUGGUUCCCCGUGAGCCAUCUCUUAGAUCUGCUCAGGUCGUUGGUACUGAAGUCGGCAAUAGAGAAGCCUCUCGAAUCCAAAUGUUCUCUAGCCUUGAAACUCGAGCUUAGUCUCAAAUUCUCAUCUAAAUCCUUGGAGUUUAGAUGCUUCGCGACCCUCGUCGUUCACUGCCCUCACCGGAACUCUCUGACUGCCACGUCGGAACUGGCGAUGAAGAUGGCGGUGGAAGGGUUAUCCCUAAACCUAAUCCAGAUGUUGCUCUUCUCUUAUGGGCUUAGCCCACAAUUUGGAAGUCAACUUUUAGGCCCACAAAGUCUCCAGUCUCGGCCCAACUUAAAAAAUAAAGUCUCAACCUUUUUACCAGACUGGCCCAGGUUUGUUUCUCCAAAAUUUUCUACAAGCCCACUAAAAUUGAAUUGUCUGCAGUUUGAACGGAUUGAAAGUGGACUCUAUUCCAUCUCUGCUUCGACAAGUUCUUUAAUCUGGUUUUGUAUCAUUCUCAACAUUAGCCUGGUUUUAAGCCCUCCUUGGCUUCUCAUGUUCACAAAUAUAUUCCGGUCAUUGCUCGAUGAAAUAUUUUCUAUGAAGGGGGAUAAAUUUGCAUUCUUAACCUCAUCUCGAUCGAGGUUGAUAGUUAGCUCCCGGAUUGGAAUUCAUUUGGUUGUUCUUGUCUCCAAGGCCUUAUGGUUUUCAUGUUGAAUUAUUGUUUUAAACCUAUCUAUCAUUCUCUUGCAAAUUUGAUCUUUGUUAUUGUUAUUGUAUCCAACCAAGAGGUUGAAGACCUUGUAAGCUUUUCUUCCUUUUGGAAAUGAAUGAAAUCAACUAUCUUUGCACAAAAAAA